rnacentral:rRNA from 1 species
GUGGGGAAUAUUGGACAAUGGGGGGAACCCUGAUCCAACCAUGCCGCGUGUGUGAAGAAGGCCUUUUGGUUGUAAAGCACUUUAAGCGAGGAGGAGGCUACCGAGAUUAAUACUCUUGGAUAGUGGACGUUACUCGCAGAAUAAGCACCGGCUAACUCUGUGCCAGCAGCCGCGGUAAUACAGAGGGUGCAAGCGUUAAUCGGAUUUACUGGGCGUAAAGCGCGCGUAGGUGGCCAAUUAAGUCAAAUGUGAAAUCCCCGAGCUUAACUUGGGAAUUGCAUUCGAUACUGGUUGGCUAGAGUAUGGGAGAGGAUGGUAGAAUUCCAGGUGUAGCGGUGAAAUGCGUAGAGAUCUGGAGGAAUACCGAUGGCGAAGGCAGCCAUCUGGCCUAAUACUGACACUGAGGUGCGAAAGCAUGGGGAGCAAACAGGAUUAGAAACCCGGGUAGUCC